rnacentral:rRNA from 1 species
AUUGAACGCAGGCGGCAUGCUUUACACAUGCAAGUCGAACGGUAGAGGGGCAACCCUUGAGAGUGGCGAACGGGUGAGUAAUGCAUCGGAACGUGCCCAGUAGUGGGGGAUAGCCCGGCGAAAGCCGGAUUAAUACCGCAUACGACCUGAGGGUGAAAGCGGGGGAUCGCAAGACCUCGCGCUAUUGGAGCGGCCGAUGUCAGAUUAGGUAGUUGGUGGGGUAAAGGCCUACCAAGCCGACGAUCUGUAGCUGGUCUGAGAGGCCGACCAGCCAAACUGGGACUGAGACACGGCCCAGACUCCUACGGGGGGCAGCAGUGGGGGAUGGUGGGCAAUGGGCGCAAGCCUGAUCCAGCCAUGCCGCGUGCGGGAAGAAGGCCUUCGGGUUGUAAAGCGCUUUUGUCAGGGAAGAAAUCUUCUGGGCUAAUACCCCGGGAGGAUGACGGUACCUGAAGAAUAAGCACCGGCUAACUACGUGCCAGCCGCCGCAGUAACAC